GACGAACGCUGGCGGCGUGCUUAACACAUGCAAGUCGAGCGGUAAGGCCCUUUCGGGGGUACACGAGCGGCGAACGGGUGAGUAACACGUGGGUGACCUGCCCUCAGCUCUGGGAUAAGCCUGGGAAACCGGGUCUAAUACUGGAUAUGACUCCAUGACGCAUGUUGUGGGGUGGAAAGCCUUGUGCGGCUGAGGAUGGGCCCGCGACCUAUCAGCUUGUUGGUGGGGUGAGGCCUACCAAGGCGACGACGGGUAGCCGGCCUGAGAGGGCGACCGGCCACACUGGGACUGAGACACGGCCCAGACUCCUACGGGAGGCAGCAGUGGGGAAUCUUGCGCAAUGGGCGAAAGCCUGACGCAGCGACG
rnacentral:rRNA from 1 species